GGUUCUAUAAUGUAGCGGUUAGCACGUCUGCCUCAGAAGCAGAGAGCAGGUAGUCCUGGGUUCGAUUCCCAGAGGAACUG